GUUCAGUUUAUGUUCUUUUUUUUGGAAGGAGAGGGGGUGGGGGAGAAUAGUAAGUUUAUUUUGCCUCUUUUGGUUAAUAGUAUGAAUGUGUAUUGCCAUGUUAUAUGAACAUGUAGUAUGAAUGACUUUUCUUAUGCAAAUUUUAUAGAAUAAAUAAUCAUAACAACAACUUAUGCAUUUUUAUUGACAAUAUAUACAGUAAAAAAAUAUGUGAACUCGUGAUACACGCAGGGACGUAGACAAAAGAAAUGAGCAGUGCCUUCUAUCAUAAAAAAAGUGCCCUGCCCUCCACUGGCACCCUGCCCCUUUUGUAUUCUAGCUAGAGCACUGAUAUAGAACCAAAAAUUCAAAAGCUUGUGAAAACAAGAAAAUAAGGGUACAUGUAUAUUAGAUAGGGACAGAACUUUUGCUUUGCAACAGGCAACCUAUAGCUACAGACCCCAUAAUACAGACUAGGGGAAUAGCUCUGGUAGCAUGGACAGAGGCGAUUACAUACAGAC
rnacentral:lncRNA from 1 species